AAUUUAGGUAAAUACUCUUGUUUCUUUAGGCAUGACCUCAGUUGGUGUCAAGAUUUCAAAAGCCCAUGUAAUACGUCACACAUUCCUGACUCAAAAUCCUCGCCUCCCAUGUAAAGGGGUUGCACGUUACAAGGAGCCUGGAAGAAACGGCCGGGGCACACUCUGAAGUAUUCAGAUCAAAGACCUCUUUUGUCCCCUUCCCUCCUGUUUGGUCACAAUUUUUCAGGAUGCUGAUGUAUUUGAAGUAGAGGAUGAGUGGCAUGGUGCGGUGUGAAGUCAUGCAGGUGGGAGGUUACCUCCGAGAGACUCUCAAGCAGGGGAAGAAGAAAGACCCCAGGCAUGGAUGAAACCAGCAGAGCAGGGAGCCAACACGAAACAGGGUUGCUGGGCAAAGUGGGGCCUGACCACGAGAUGGGAGCAAGGAGUUCAGGAUUGGAAAGGAACCCGAAUUGAAUACUUCGGCCACCGCAAGCGGGAAGUGGUAAAUUAAGAAAAAUAAAUCCUGAUGAUAAUGAAUUUAUUCGGCUGUA
rnacentral:lncRNA from 1 species